rnacentral:tRNA from 1 species
AUAUAUUUUAUAUUUAUAUAUAAGGGGCGG